rnacentral:lncRNA from 1 species
GUGGUGGUAGGUGUAUUUGAAAUAUUCUUAAAAAUAAUUUCAUUCAUUAUUUUUAAUAGAUGAGAGUUCUUAUCUUUCUCCAUUAUAUCUUUCAAAAAAUCCAUUUAAUUUUGGGAUGGGUUGUUUCAUCUUAUUGCUCCUUGUAGUCUUUCUCAAAAACCUUUCAUGCAUCUUGUAAAUCGAAAAAGUUUUUAGCUUGAUGGUCCAAUUGUCAUUAUUGUUUUUACUAAGUUGGGUAUUUAAAACAGAUAUAUCCCACUUUUCCAUUCCUUGUGAUUCUAAUAUUAAUUUGUUGAAGUAAUAAGGUUGAAACACAAAACAAUCACAUUAGUAGAGAUAAAUAAUUGAGAAAAAAUUAAGAAAAUUUAAUUUAUUAUCUUCUAACACUAAACAAAAUUCCUAAUACCAAAAAUACAGCAACUUUAUAAAAUUCAAUUAUUUGAAUAUAGAAACUAAAUCAAUCACUCAAGAAAUAUUUUAAUUGAUUUAUAGAAAUCAAAUCAAAUUUUAAUUUUUUAAAAGCUUCCCAAAUUUAAAUUCACUUUCCUAUCAUUAGCCACAUGGAAUGAAUUAAUUAAUCUGCAUGCAUGCCGUCGUUGAUGUGAAGCCGCACAGCGAUUGUUUGCCUCUAAUUAAAUUCCUUUCCAGCUCACCCUUGAUAACACUGGCCAAGUAGUGCUAAAGCUAUUUUCUCUUAAAGUGAUAGGAUAAAGCACAGAGAUGAGCUCAUUCUCCACAUCGUCUGAUGCCCAAUGGACCCUUCAACUUUUCUGUGGAGAAUGAUUAAUAACGCAUUUUGAGAUCACCUACUGAUGAUGUAACUUUGUGCAAUCGUAUACUGCAUAAUAUUGGCAAUGGCAGCCAAUUCAUGGCAGAUUCUUUUACCAAAUGUAGGUAUUCAUUAUGAAUGUCAUGUCGUGCCUUUGCAGUGUCUGUUAGUGGAGAUAAAAGUACUAGGUACUCCCUCUCUUUGGAUUCCCUGACAAGGGGUCUAUAAGGGCAUGACGACACAAGUAUAACUCUAGAAAAUAUGGGUGUAUAUGAUAUGCCCGACAUAUUUUCCUCGGACUUUUUUCAAUAGUACGAUAAUUUAAAAAAAAUAUUCUUAAAUUAUUAUAGUAAAAAAAGUUAUUUUAAAUAUAUGAUAGUUUUUGUCACCUAAGAGAGAGGGUGAAUGAAUAAAUUUUUUUUUUUAACCAAAAUCGUCUUUUCAAAAAACGAUUUUAUUUCCAUUUAAAAAAUAAAUAAAAAUUCAAAAGGGGAAGAGACGAUUUCCCAUUAAAAAAAAUUAAUAUUUUUUUUAAUAUUGAUUACAAAUUAUAAAAAAAAAAUAUUCCCAAAGAAACUCAUCUCUUGAAGAGACGAGUUCCCAUGGAAAAAAAUAAUAUUUUUUUUUUAAAAUCCCAAAUUUAAAAAAAAAAAAAAAAACCACAAGGAACUCGUCUUUUGAAAAGACGAGUUCCCAUGAAAAAAAAAUCUCAAAUUAAAUAAAAAAAAUAAAAAAUCCUCAAGGGAACUCGUCUCUUGAAGAGACGAGUUCCCAUGAAAAAAAAUUAAUAUUUUUCUAAAAAAAAAUCCCAAAUUAUAAAUAUAAAAAAAAAAAAAUCCUCAAGAAGAGACGAUUUCCCAAAUUUUUUUUUUUAUAAUUUGGGAUUUUUAAAAAAAUAUAUAUAUUAAAUUUUUUUCAUGGAAACUCGUCUCUUGAAGAGACGAGUUCCCUUAAGGAUUUUUUUUUUUUUAAUUUGAGAUUUUUUUAAAAAAAAUAUAUAUUAUUUUUUAAAUAUAUAUAUAUAUUAUUAUUUUUCAUGGGAACUCGUCUUUUCAAGAGAAGAGUUUCCUUGAGGAUUUUUUUAUUUUUUUUUUAAUUUGGGAUUUUUAAAAGAAAAAAAUAAAAAUCAUGGAACUCGUCUCUUGAAGAGACGAGUUCCUUUGAGGUUUAAAAAAAACAAUAAAUAAAGGCCCGUGAAAUUGGGCCGAAUUGUGGCCCAAAAUAUGGCUUGGCGGGGGUGCCAUGUGGAGCACCCUCAAAAUUCAAACCAAAAAAACAAAAGAAAAGAAAAAGGGUGGGGGGGGGGGGGUCUGGCCACGCCUGAGCGCGCCAGGUGGCAGAUGGGUGCUCAGGUGUGGCUGCUGCCCCUUCCCUUUUGCCCAGGAGGGCUGCCGCCCGUCCGUUCUUUCCACGGCGAUUCCGGCUAUCUCGGGCGACAUCGGCAGCCAAGAGGGGUCUCUUCAAGAGACGAGUUCUCUUGAGGAAAAAAAAUUAAUAUUUUUUUAUAUAUAAUUUAGGAUUUUUUUUUUAAAAAAAAUAUUAAUUUUUUUUCAAGGGAACUCGUCUCUUAAGUCUCUUGAAGAGACGAGUUCCUUUGAGAAUUUUUAUUUAUUUAUAAUUUGAGAUUUUUUUUCAUGGGAACUCGUCUCUUGAAGAGACGAGUUCCCUUGAGGAUUUUAUUUUUAUUUUUUUAUUUGGGAUUUUUUUAUGGAAACUCGUCUCUUCAAGAGACUAUUUCCCUUGGGUUUUUAUUUUUUUUAUUUUUUAUAAUUUAUAAUAAAUGUUAAAAAAAAUAUUAAUUUUUUUUAAUGGAAAAGAGACGAUUUCCCUUUUGAAUUAUUUUUUUCUUUUAAAUGAAAAUAAAAUCAUCUUUUGAAAAGAUGAUUUUGGUUUUAAAAAAAAAAAUUAUCCGUUCACCCUCUCUCUUAGGUGGCAAAAACUACCAUAUAUUUAUAAUAAUUUUUUUUACUACAAUAAUUUAAGAAUAAUUUUUUUAAAUUACCGUAAUAUUGAGAAAAGUCCUAUUUUCCUCAGGAAAGCAUAGGUAGCAUUACCUUAUUUUCUUUUUGUUAAUCCCAAUAAUACAAAAAGUUCGACCUCAUCCUAAUCCCAUCUCACUGUUGCACUGGCUGGGUGCCACCAAAUACCCACUCGUCACCAAUAACACCUGUGAAAGUAUCACUGAUCUUGACCUCUUCAAAAUAAAAAACUUUCGAACCUACCCAUAUCUUUAUAGUUCAGCAGGUCUUUAUCAUUUGACAAGAGCAGUCCAUUAGAAAAUUUAAAAAUUCGUACAAGCAGACAAGCUUGUCAAGAAACUUUUUUUUUUUUUUGUCUCUGAAGUAAUAAAAAGAAUUCUAUAAAUAACAGUACAGAAAGAAGGAAAAAAAUCUAUAGAAAUGGUAUAUAAAAUGUAUAAAAAUAAAAAAAAACAUAGGUUACACAGCAUAUGAAACUACACAAAGCUCUUGAAAAUUUGCAGUUGCACGUGAGCUCAUAUCUCUUAAUUUUAUUACGUGUAUGUUCAGCAUCUUCUUUAUGCAUAGUCUUCUUGAUAUUGGAGAAUUUUGAUGGGCUUUUGGUACUUUUUCCUAAACCUCAAGAAAAUAUCUAGCUAUGCAAACUGAUUAAAACAUUCUACCAGAGAUGUUGGGUUUCUCAUAGACAGAUUGAUUUCUAUAAUUUCUAAUUAUUAAUUGGCUUUUGGGUGUAGAAUUAUUGUGGGUAUGUAUACAUUCCAAUAUUGCAAGAGUCUAUAUCCCAUUUCCUUGAAUGUACCGCCUUUAGACAUUUGUCUUUGCGAUAUUUUAGAGGUGCAUGUGACCUGUAAACAUUAAUCAAUGACAGGUACAUAGAUAUUUUUUUUCUUCGUACGCAAGGGCGUAAGACCAUAAGAGCGUGUGUGCAGCGUGUUCUCUACAGAACCACGCGUAGCGUACCUUGUACCGUGCCGUGCUGUUCAUUUUUUGUGGAAGUUUGAAGUUUUGGGAGGUGGCAUAAUGAGCGUGACAUAUUGAGUUUGACCCCAUGCAAAAUGCAGAGAUAAAUCUCGAUCUACUGAUCUAGAUAAGGUUACAUGUGUUGUAUCAAACGUGGUGCAGACCUGUUCUCUAAAUGAAAGACCAAUGGAGAGAGUGAAGUCAUACCUAACAAGCCUGCAACACUGAUCAAAAUGAUGGGGUACAUGCAUGAAGACUGAAAUCCAAUCCCGAUUGACUUGCAGAUCCAGCUAGCUACAUUCCAAGAAGAAGCAGGGUGUUUUUUAAAUAUAUAUAUAUAUACACAUAUAUUUUUGUAUCUUUUACAUGAGUAAGAACUUCACCAGAGAACAUAUACCCUUGAUUGGCUGCAUUAAGCAGAACAACAUAGGCUUAAAAAAUUGGAGUUACUGAUCACAUGAAUACAAUCAUAAGCAUUAUUUCAGAAGGCAAGUAGUGAUGAAGUACAUUCUUUGGGGGAUAGCUAAAAAUGGAAUAGAAAUGAUGAUACAAAUAGUAAGAUAUAUACCGAUCAUUAGUUGAUUAAACAAGACUUGAGCUUUAAUUCUCUCUUUUUGGAUGGGUGGGUACCGGAUGUUUUCGUGGUUGCAAGUGGAUGAUGUGGACCGAUACGUUCCACACAACUCCAACAUGCAGAACCCAACUUAGGCACACAACCUCAGCCUUAUUAUGACAUUUCUUUUCAUUUCAUGGGAGGACCAGUUAUUAAAUCUACCUUCACAUGCAUGUUCUGGGACCUGUACUGUCUGUCCUUUUAAGUAAAAAUAUGUACCGUGUUUAUAUGAUACUAUAACAUCCAGGGCCAAAGGUGCCCGUGAUUGUCUCAAAUAAUUCGAUAUGCCCUCUGGUGUGAUUGAGAGUAUUUAUGAAAACCCUAGUUAAAUUUGACUUGGUCUAACAUGGGGUGCUUCUGAAAACCUAAGUUCGAUCUGAAUUUAAGAUAUCUCCAAGUGGUCUUGUUGAAUGUUCAUGGGGCUUAAACCAUAGAGAAAAUAUUCAUUUAUUCUCUGAACAAACCUCUAGCUCCUGUAGCAGUCAUAUUAUUUUGCUACCAACUGAAAACUCAGUGUUGGUAUCUGGACCAUUUCCAAUAAUAUUGUUGACUCUUAGUAUACAAACGUGCCAGUGAACAAUAUUUAAAAUUGACAGUAUCUCAUGAAAGCUAGAUGUAAAUCUCCAUGGACGAUCAAACGUUUCUUUCAUGCACUUUUGGUGCUUUUCUUUUCCAGCUCACCUGUUACAUGGAGCCGGGAAGGAAGGCUUCAUCUUGAUGAUCACGACUUAUGAGCAAUCUCAUGUGCAGAAUACAUUAGGGGCCCUCUUGACUGAUUCAAGCUAGCUUUUCAGAUAAGCCUGAACUGGUGGUUGGCACUCCAAGAAAUAUCUAAAUUGAAUGGCGUAGACCUCGCCAUGGAGAUCAAGAUAAGAGAGACUUAACGCCUGAAACAAGUUUUAUUCUGUGAACAAGACUGGGUAUGCUUCGGUGUGUCCCAGGAAAAAUGAACUGACUUCUUGUGUUUUAGAAAUCAUUUGAAAGUAAUGAAUUUAAGGAGGCCAACUUUGAUAUCAAAAUAUAUUAGUAACAUUCAUGGCUACGUAAGGUUUCUUCUUCUUUUUUUCCAAUCCAUUUUUGCUUUGUAUAGAUGUACUCAUUACGAAGAACUGACCCUUUCUUCAAAUAUGCUACGAGGGACUGAAACAACGUGGGAUGAUGAGAUAGAAGAUAUUUUUCUUAAGCUAGCUGAGAAUAAUAAGCAAGAUUCGCUAAAGCCCUAGCUUCUUGGGUGAAAGGAAAUAACAAGAUAUUUUGUCAUGUCAGGAACAUGCCUGCAUUAGUUCACAUUAAUUAAAUUUUGAAAUAUUUAACAUGGAAGGGCUUAAUGUUAAGACAACACUAGUACGACCAUUAAUUGCUAUCUCCAUCUGAAAUAAUUGGAACUUAUAUCUAUACGGUUUUGUGCAAAUAUUAGAGACCAAAAGCACAAAAUCUUUCCCUCGAGACCAAGUAAAUCUCGCUUUUUUAAAUCGAAGGUACUCACUCUACGCUAAUUAAAGCUGAAAUGAUAUUUUGUCUUACGGGUUCAAUAUUUAGAAUCUGUUUGGUUGUAAUUUUAGAAAGUACUUCGAAUCUUUCUAAUAUUUUAAAAUUUUUAUUAAAAGAAUUGUUUUCAUGAGCCAAAAAGAUUAAGGUAGUGUUUGUAUUUUUGGCUUUUUGAUAAAAAUAAUUUAUUUUCAGAAUUUAGGUUGUUUUAGUUUUUCUACUUUUUCAUAACUUAUUAUAAAUUUUUUACUAAAUAGAAAAAAUCAAAAUAUAUAACUUUUUCUAAAUAGAAAAAAUAACAUAUUGAUUUUUCUAUCUUUUUUAAUACUUAUAAAAAUAAAAUAUUAUAAAAACAAAUAACCUAAUAUUUAACAUUAUUAAGCAUUAAAAUUCUAUUUAGAAUUAAGUAAAAAAAUAAACACCACCUAAAAACACUUCUUAAGUCAUUGGAAAACAAGCUCUUAAUUGAAACGAAGAAGGACGGGAUCAAGAAAUUUGUUUCUUGAAAAUUGGUCCAUUGUAUUCUUAAAAGGUUAAUUUCACUUGCUUCUCCUAUUUGUGAUGAAUAUAUUUAACUAUCAUAAUUUGAAAUUUCAUUAAAUGCUUCUAUUACUUUAAGUAGAAGGAAAGAUGAGUGAAAUAACAAAAGAGAAAAAUAGAUGAGGUAGUUGAUGAAAUUUUAAAAUCAUGGCAUAGCUAACUACAUUUAUUUAGCAAAAAUCUCAAGAAAUGUGAAUGAAAUAUCCUUAUUUUUAAAUGAAUUAUGGUCUUUUAAGAAACGGAAGUGCAUGAUCAGCGUAAGAAUCCAUUGAUCCCAUGCGUAAAUUAACCUCCGCCAAUUGCAGCUAUAGUUAAUUAAGUAACGCGAUGCAGAACAAUGAGAGUAGUGGCAGUUGUUGAUACCUCGCAUCUUUGACGAUCCACGUAGUUGCCAGAUGGAUGGACGCGUAACUUCAACUUAUAAAGGUUCUUGAUCCAGUCGUUAUACCUACAGGAAGGCAUCCGGACAGGGUGUCCGGACGCACCCUCCGAUGGUUUUGUUAGCCAUGGUCAGAGAGAGAGAGAGAUAUAAAUCAGUUGGCCUUUUACCAGGUAUUAGGAGGUUACCAGGGGAUCCUUUUCUUCUUCGUGCGAAAGUAUAUAUAUACAGCUUCAGGGGUACUGUUCCUCUCAUUAAUGGCGAGGAGAUAUUUUGUGUUUGUCAUGAUGACAUUUGGAGGCAGCAUGGUCAUCGCCACCCUACUGGCGGCUGUCAGAAACCGUGGUAGGUGAUGCUGCUGUCUAGAGAUCGUGGGAAGUGAUUAUGUAGAAUGAUCGUGGGAAGUGACUUGUUGUCACCUCGACCCGUCCUUUCACUCUACAGAUGAUGGGACGUGGGUCAUGGCUGGUUGUCGUGAUAGCGUGUAAGACUCACUUUACUUUAAUUGAUGACCCGGACGAUUAUAUCCGGGUGACACAUGCUAAUUGCCCGGAUAUAUUGUGGAGCGGAUGCAUUAUGAAGUUUGUCCGGAUGUCUGUGUUUUGCCAGCGACGUUUGCUCUUCCUUGGAUAGGAGGAGUUGAAACGUCAUUUGCCUUUCCUUGAGGCGGUCCGUAUAGGAGAACCAUCAUCAUUUGUAUCCUUAGGGGAAUCCGGAUGAUGAUGGUCCAGCUGGUAACACGUGCCACGUGUCACUGUGAGGUGCGUGCCACGUGUUCUCCAGAGGGAGGGGUCCCUACAGCAGUCACCCCACAUUCUGAUACUUAGAAGACUGUGGUAGGCCAUGGAGAGACAUCUAGAGGCUUUGAGGGCAUUGGUCUCUACAGUUGAAUAUUCUAGAGCAUCUCAACAGGUUUCUGGAACUCUACACUUCUGGAUUGACUUGGCCACACUUGAAGGAGUUGUAUUUUCAAGGUGGGGAUAUAAUAGAAGAAUUAAAGGUUUGAAUCAUAUAUAUAUGCUCCAUCUCUCUGAACGAUGCCUUUCAAUGUGUACUAAUUUAUCCGAAACACAUGAUAUCAAUUUGAACUACCCUUUUCCAUAUGUCCUCUUUUAUAUGAACCACAUGGCCCCUAUUUGAAAUCUGGAUCAUCAUCCCUGGAAAGUUCCAAAAUUUCAGAGUAGCAUUGAGAUAAAAACACAGAUACACAAGAAAUCCUCCUUUUUCCAAACUGAAUAGAGACCAAUAUUUAAUUGUACUUCAUCUUUCUUUUGAAGUUAGUUAGACUAAAAUGAUACUUUUAUGCCAUAAAAGGUAAUAAUUUUUUUUUCCUUAUUUUAUCCCCGGUUCAUCGAGCAGUACAAAUAGCAAAAAGUAGUAACAGUGAAGCCAAAUUUGAUAUGCAAAUCAGGCUGGAAUAGAGCCAGCUACCAACUGAAUCAGUGUUAAUAAUUGGGGGGCAGGCAGACAUGACUAUCUAAAAGGACCUUUCGUAUGCAUCUAAGAACUUCAAUCACAUGCAGUGGUCUCCCAUAUUACAUAAAGUCAAGUCAGACCGAGUUGUUUCCCUCCCGCUCCCUCAGUCACACCCCAUACAGCAAGCAUCCACCUUAUCUCUCACCAUUUAACACUAUAUAUAGAAAGCUAAAGUGCUUAGGAAAAGCACCUUUUGUUGAUCAAACAAAGCAAAGUCUAAGUCAUGACUAAGCUUAAAAGAACGAGUGGUAAGAGGAAGAAUGGCAUUGUAAAGCUUAAGAUCGUGGUAGAGAAGCUGCAAAAGAGCCUUUUGUUGGGGAGGAAAUCAGCUUGUGAAAAUGACGAGUUCAAAGAUGUCAGUGACUCAACCUAUGUGCCAGCUGACGUCAAGGAAGGACACUUUGCGGUGAUUGCUGUGGACGACGAUGAACCAAAGAGAUUCGUCGUCCCAUUAAAUUUUCUUACUCAUCCGACCUUUUUGAAGCUCUUGGAGCAAGCAGCUGAGGAGUAUGGUUUUGAUCAUGAGGGUGCGUUGACAAUCCCUUGCAGGCCGAGCGAGCUGGAGAGCAUACUGGCUGAGCAAUGGCAGAAGGAAAGGGAUUCCAGUGUUGGUGUUCCCUGGGGUUCCUGGAAAACCAUGGUUAAGAGCUGUUAGAAGAAGAACAAGUCGAUUUGAUUCUAUUAAUUCAUGGGAUCUCUUUCCAUGCUCCUGCAUUUGGCCCUCGCUUUUCUUUCUUCUGUUGGACCCUUGAGAUCUCUCAUGUGGGGUUUAUUAAAGAAAAAAAAAAUUAAUAAAAUUGUGAUAGGAUUUUACUCAAAUUAUUUAUUUUUUAUUUUGUAUGAAAUUCAAUAUUUAUCGAGUUUAUGUUUUGAUAAAUUAUCUUUUUAAGUUUAACAAUUACAUUAGAAAAGUAUUGUUUUAGGGUUAGUAUAAAGGAUUCCAUAAAUAUGUGGUUUUAUAGAAAGGAAAAAAAAAAAGAGUGAAGAGAGAUAGGUAGAAGGUGUAUUGGGUAUUAGGUAGAGAAAGGUCGAGAAAUUUUAAAUAGGAAUUUGAGGCACAUUCCUAACAAAUACGACAUUUUUUAAAGUAUUUCCAAACUUACAAUAACUUUUAUGACAUCAAUAAAAAAAUUUCUUUUGAAAAGACAAUUUUAAUUAAAUUUUGAAGUUGUUAAAAUUUUAAAUUAAAUUAUCUCUCCAAAAGAUAACUUUCAAUUGGUAUUAUGAAAAAUGCGUAAAUUAGAAAAUAGGUUAAAAAGUUUCAUAUUUUAAUAAAUAGAUUUUAAACUUGCUAUAUUUUUAAAAAAAAUUCCACCCCUUUUGCAGCAUGCACAUUUAUUUUUGGGUUACAUUACUUUUUUUUCUUUCUAAGCCGAAAAUUUGUAGUCUGUGAAUUUUGUAAUAAUUUGAUUAACAAAAAAGUAAUAUUAUUAUUUAUUCUCUCUUCCAUAUUCUCCGAAAGGUUUUCUUUCUAGUUGGAAUAUAUAUACAACUCACUUAGAUGGUAUUUGUUUUUUUGAUUGAAUAGAAAAAAUUAAAAUAUUUAGUUUUUUUUUAUUAAGUUAAAAAUACCUUAUUGAUAUUAACCAAUAUAAUUAAAGUGAACUUGUUAUCAAUAAGUUUAGUUUAAUUAUGUUGGUUGAUAUCAAUAAGUUACUUUUAACUGAAUAGAAAAAGUCAAAUAUUUUGGUUUUUUCUAUUCAGCCAAGAAAACAAACAUCGUCUUAGUUUUUGUUUGGAUACAAUUUCCUUUUUAUUUUAAAAAUAAAAAAUAAUAAUAAGUUUUAUAUUGAUAUAAAAAUUCUUAUAUGUUUAUAUUGAAAAUGUAAUGAUAUUAAAAAUUGUUUAAAAAAUUUUUGAAAUAUGAAAUAACUAACAAAUUUUAAAUAAAAUUAUAUUUUUUUGUACAAAAUAUUUGAGAAAAUAAAGGGCUAAUCUAAAUAGAUACAAACACCCAAGAGGGAGGGUGAAUUGAAGUUUAAAAAACAAAAAAAUAAUAAUAAUCUUUUUAAACACAAUAAAAUUAAGCACAAGAAGCACAAAUAUAAAGAGAUAAAGUUAUAAAAAGCAAACUCAGAUUUAUAAUGAUUCGGCACUUCCUUACCUACAUUCAAUAUUCUUAAACUCCUAACCGAGUGAGGGUUCCACUUAUACUUGAAACUUUAACCAAGCUUCUAAUCACUUUUUACACUUGGAUUCCGGCUUCAACGGGCUCUUACAUAAUCUCUUCAAGUCUCAACUCACUUGAAUGUUUUAACACUCAAUUAACAAGUUUGAAUCUCUCAACCUAGCUCAACAAUGGUUCAAAUACAACUCAAGGCUAAGAUGAAUCACAAAUGUGCACUAAAAAUAUGCAAAAAGGGGAACACCAAGAAAAUAAUAAGAGCUUUUAUGGCAAGAACAAGUAGGUAAACAAAUAAAUGCAAGUGUUCUCUUCCUCAUAAAUAAAGUGGAGCUCUCAAUUUAUAGGUUCUAACCUCGGGAGUCAAAAAACCAAAAAACAGCCUCGAUCAGUCGAGUUGGAGGGUGAUUGGUUCACUAGCCGUUGGAGCAUUAAAUGUUUGGUAGGUGACCGUUACCCUCAAUCGAAUCUCGACUAUGAAAGAAAGACUAUUGGAAGAGAGAUAAGGUUUUUUGCAUCUCUCAACCGAACCUCGACUAGGAAGGAGUAACCGGUCGACCGAUAUCCUAGCCGGUUGAGCUAAUUGACCAGUGCCUCAACCGGUUCACCAUUUUUUGCCUGAAAACCUAUCUUUUUCUGGUCUUUUUGCUUCUAAUACUUAGACAAUGUCUUUAGGUAAAAUAAUAUGUCAAUUUUGAAACGUUUUGCCUAAGGUUCAUUUGAUAAAAUUCGGAUUUUGAUGGAAAUGUAACUUUAAUGCAUAAACUGAGUUUUCAAAGAUGUAUGAAAUAAUAUGAAAAUCCUAAGUACACUCAUGCAUUCAUCUUACAUAUGUUUCCUAUGAUUAAAAAGUCUUUCAAAAGUUUUGAUCUUGCAUCAUUAGGUCAUUUAAUGAAUUUCCAAAUUAACACUUGAAAUUUUUUAUAAUUCAAACAACUUAGUAACUUAACCAUGAUUUGCUAUCAUCAAACCAUGAUUAGAAGAAUCCUUGGGCUAACAAUAUUAUAUUUUUAUAUAGAGGUUUAUAAUUUAAAAAAAAAAAAAUAGGACGUGUAUUAACAAACAUUGGUAGUGUUUGUUUUUUUGGCUUUUUGCUGAAAACAAUUUAGUUUUAGAAUUUAGGUUGUUUGUUUUUCUACUUUUUCAUGACUUAUUAUAAACUUUUUAUUAAAUAAAAAAAGCCAAAAUAUGUAGCUUUUUCUAAAUAGAAAAAAUAAUAUAUUGGUUUUUUUUACUUUUUAAUACUUAAUAGAAAUAAAAUACUACAAAAACAAACAACCUAAUAUUUAAUACUAUUAAGCAUUAAGAUUCUAUUUAGAAUUAAGUAAAAAAACAAACACCACCUUAAUUCUGAUAACUUUAAUUGAAAUACCACUAAAUGUGCUUGGGAAUCAUUUUAGAGAAAUGAAUAGUAUUGAUCAUAAAAUAACACCAGUAUGUUUAGGAACAUUUUGAAAAACAAUUCUCAACGGAUUUUAAAAAAAUACUCCUUUGAUGUUGAUCUUGAAAUAUUUAUGUUUUCAAAUAAUUAUUAUUUUUAAUUAUUAUUUGUAUUUGUAUAAUUAUUUUUAAAAAAAUUAAAAUAAUUAAAAUAUAUUCUUAAAAACAUCACAUUUUCAUAACAAAUUGUAAAAAAAAAAAAAAAAAUCGCUUUGAUGUGUCAAAAUGUAUAAAAAUAAAAUAAAAAAAACGCUUUGAUGUGUCAAAAUUAAUGUAUUUUUUAGAAAAUAAUUUUGUAUUUUUAAGAAUUAAAGGUUGUUUUUAAAAAUAGUUUUCAAACAGGCUACUAAGACAAGGGCAGUGCUAGAUUUUCUGGCUGAAUUUCAAUUUACCUUGCAAUCAAAAAACAAAUUUCAAUGCAUGAAUGUAUGUGGCUUUGCAAAGAAAUAAACAUAUACAUAGAUCUGAGCUUUUGAGUUAUUUUCCGCAAGACAAUCUGAGUUGUAUUCAUUAGUGGGGAUCCACUGCAUGCCCAACAGUUAAAUUAUUUAUCACAUGACAGCUAUGGUUGUAGUACUGUGAAAUGUGGGAUGUAUAAUGUUGUACCUACACUAGCCAUGUUGAGGAACACCAUAAUUGAACUUUGGAAGAUGAGACGGACACUAGGGUUAGUAUAGAUGUUUCUUCCUGCUUCUUUUUCAUUUUUCCUUGACAUAAAUCAAGCAAAGAAUCUUCAAUACUUGGAUACUUUUGAAAUUGGAGCAAUAACCUCUUUUAUUCAUUUUUCAAAAAAAUAACCUAAUUAAAACAUUUUUAAUUUUUUUUUAUUUUCUAAAACAUUUUCAAUCUUUCUUAUUUUCUCAAAAUAUCAUUUCCCUCUCAUUCGUUCCUUCCCAUUAUUCAUACCUAAAUCUCUCUUGGUUCAUCACUUUCUCUCUUUUAUUAGAUAUCCAAUUCUCACUCUUUUUUUCGGAUACCCAACUCUUUAUUUUUAGGUUUACAAUUUCUCUCUUUGUCCAUUUAAAUUCAAACCUUUAAAAAGAUCAAUGAACAAAAAUCUCAUCUUUCUUUCUUCUUCAAGAUUUUUCGUAGUUUUUACUAUUGUUUUUGUUGGGUUUUUUAUAGUUAUUUUUAGUUGGGAUUUUUUAGUCAUUUUGUGUAUCUUAAUCAAAUUGUUUAUAAAUGAAAUUUAACUAUAGUAUAGUUCACGUUAUCAUUAUGAUUGAUGACCUAAUCUUAAUUAGGUUUUUUUGCAAACCCGAUUUAACUUAUGUGAAGUUCAUGUGAACAUUUUUAAUGGGAAAUUAACCUUUGUAAAAAAAAGUGAGAAAAAAAAACGAAGUUUUUGUUUUUGAAAGCAAACAAACAAAGAGGAGUAAAAGGGUUCAAAAAUGAUCAUUUCUCAACAAAAUUGAAGAGAUGGGUUAUUUUUACAAUUUGAUAGUUAUUUUGAACCAUUUGUUCAAAUAAUGGUAAAGUAGCAAGUGCAAAAGAUGGGUGCUCCCCCUUUCUAUGAUCAUUAGAUUUGAAAUAAGAAUGUCUCAAUAUCAAACCAACCAUAUUCUUUGAAACACUCCCUAUUAGUAUGCAUAUAGUGUAAUAUCUCAUAAUGGAUUGAGAAAGAUUUAUGAUAUUAUAUAUUUAUGAACUCUUCUUGAUUAUGUAGAUAUGUUUUAAAGUUAUAAAAAUUAAUUAAAUAUAGAAUAAACAAUGUCAACAUAGAUGGAAGAUAACAUUACAAAUAGUAUCAAAAUCAAUCAUCAAUCCUAAUUUAAAAGUUUAUAUAGCCUACCAAAAGAUAUUUAUGGGACACAUAUAAGAGUGUCGUGUCUAUAUGGAGGGUGAUUGCAAUAUCCUAUAUUAGAUAUUAGAAAAAAAAACUCAAAUGACUAUAUAUGUAUUAUUUUUUCUUAACAUGUUAUAAAAUCAUAAGAACUCAUUAGACUCAAAUCAGAUAAUAUUUACGUAAAAUAAAAAGUGGAUAGUAAAAUAUAUCUACAAUUAUAUAUCAACCUUCAUGUUUUUUUUCUUGUUUGAUCAAGACAUAUGCUCCCUCUAGUUUGUACUUCAAACAUUAUAUUUUUGUCUCAUUCUUCUUAGUUGUGAGGUGCUUGGGUUCGUGUAGUCCUUGUGACAAGUGAAUGAAUACCGAAAUCUCAAGGGGUAAGUUAAAAAUCAUACUCAUCUAUUGAUGAAUUUACAGAUCUGUUGUUGUAACCUUCCUCUACUUUGUAUACAUUAGAAGAUAAAAGAAGAGAUUCGGAAGAACACUAAACAAAAUUUCAAUUCCACUUAGGGACAAAAAGUGCUCAAACUUAUUCUUUUCUACUAAUUUCAUCAUGGCAUUGAGAAUUCCACUGUUAUACAAUGAGAAGCCAAUUCAAUUUUCAGUUAAGUUAGAAGACUUCCAACUUAUUAGAUAUAGCUAAACAUCUAUCCACAUGAUAUGCUAUGCUAUCAAUAUGUUUGGUGGAUCCAAAAAAACAAAAAACAUCCAAACCUUUUUAGCCUAAUUGGCCUCGUGGUUUAAAAAUGGUUUUUUGUUUUUUAUGGAUCCAACAAAAUAGCACUAUUUGGAUAUUGUUUUCUAUUUUUGGUUUUUAAAAAAAAAUGAGAUAAAGGUCUAUUUUUUAGAGAAUAAUAGAAAUUAUUUUCACCAAUUUUAAAAAAUAAAAGGAAAACAUAUAGAAGCUUAAAAAAUUCAUAAAAAAUAAAUAAAAUUAAAUAUAAAAUCUUUUUUUUCCCUCUCCACUUACGAUUACCAAUAUUAAAAAUCUUCAAAUAUAUUUUUCCUUUGAAUUAUGCAUGUAUUUCUGAUUUUCCUUUUAACUACUCUAAAAAUUUUCAUUAAACAAAUAAAUUUCAAAUCAAACUAUAUUUGAUAGAUAAAAUUUAAAAAGUUUUUAAAAUAAUUUAAAACUCAAAAACUAAUUUAAUUAGUACUAGAAUUUUGAUUUAAUGUGUUGGAUUUAUUAAAAUGAGACUAGUAAUUUUUAAAAAUAACUUAAAACUCAUAUAUUGAUUUCAUUAAUACCAUAAAUUAUAUGUACAAAAAUUGAUAUAGAAUGAUUUUAUUAUUUCUCUUCUAUAUAUAACUAUAUUUUAUGAUUUUUUUUUUACUAGGCAAAUAAAUUUUAGAUUAAAUAAGACUAAACUUGUUACAUUCAUUAACGAGUUUAAUAAUUUUUAAAAAUAAUUUAAUACGUAAAUAAUUAUCGAAUUAAUACCAUAACUUUAUAAAUAAUAAUUGAUCUACAAUUACUCUAGUAUUUAUUUUCUGCACAUAAUUAUAUUUUUAAAAAAUUUCUCACUAAGGAAAUGAAUUGUAAAUCAAGUAGAAUUUUGUAUUAAAUUUAUUAAUAAAUUUAAUAAUUUUUUAAAUUAAUUUAAAACUCUAUAUCUAAUCACUAAAAAUAUGAUAAACCUCAUGACUUUACUAUUUUAUAUACGCAUCAAUAUUUUCUUAAGAAAUUUUCUCACUAGAUGAAUAGAUUCUAAAUUAAGCCGACAUAAUUAAUAAUUAAACUCUUGAUUAAUUUUCUAAUUUUUUAGAAUAAUUUAUAAUUCAAAAAACUAAUCCAAUUAAUUGUAAAUUAAAUCAAAGCAUUUUAAAAUACUUAUCUGUAAUUGAAUACUAAAUUUGUGCAUGUAAUAAAAAAUGACUUACUUACAUAUUAAAAAAACUUUAAUUGUUUUUAAAUUUAUUUUAAAUGAAAUAUUUUUAACAAUAUUAUUAUUAUUAUCCAUUUUUAAUCAAAAAAAAAUCAAUUAUGUUUUUACAAAAUGCUAAUAUCCAUAUUUUUAAAACAUAUAAUAGAAAUAUUUUUUUUUUAAUAAAAAAAUAUUGUUUAUGAUUUUAUUAUAAUAUUACUAUUUAUAUUUUAAAAAAUAUUUAUUUUUCUAUUUAUUUGUAAUUACAAAAGUAUUCUCAAACACUCUUAUUUUUAUAAAAUACUUUAAUAUCAUGGUUUGAUUUUCGGUACUGAUGGGAGAUCAAAUUUAAAGAUUUUUUGUAUCAGUGUUAGAUAAUAGAGAGAGAAGAAAAAUAAUACCAUAUUCAAUUUUAUCUAUUUUCUUUGACUUCUUUUAAUUUUAUAUAUAUAUUUAAAUAAAUGUGAAAAUAAUUUUUACUUGUUUUAUGAAAAUUGUUUUAUAUUUUACUUUGUUUUUAAAAACUAGAAAUAGAAAACAGCGGUGUUACAAAUUUUUAAAAACAAUUUUAUGUUUGUAAAAUAGAAAACCAAUUUUCAAUCAUACAAUCAAACAGGCUGUAAAAAAAAAUGUUCUUUGAUUUUAAUUAAAUUCAAGAAUCGGAAAACAUGGUGAAACAUACGCUUUUUUAGUUUUGCAUUUGUUUGGUUGUUUGGCUCUGGCAGAACAGGGAGCCAGGAUCCAUUCCCAGUUUGCACACCAUAAGCCCAUGAAAAUUUCUCUCCACUCACCGUGUUCAACUAUAUUUUCAAAUGCUCUUAUCUUAAGUAAACUACGGGACUUUAAAAAUAAAAGCCAGUUUAGGGUGAUCAUGAAAAGGCUAAAAGCUUUUUUUUUAAUUAAUUUUUUAAAAAUGGAUGCUUGUGCUAUCGGCGAAAAUUCAGUUUAAAAAUUAUUAUAUUUUCUAUUCAUUAUUGGAGAGUUGCUUAUGCAAUGUAUGUGUUUUCCUGACGAGUUUAAUGCAAAUUAAACUAUUAACCAAAAGGGUCCAAUUAUGAUAGAAGUGUAAUUUUUUUUAUCUAUCAAAAAGUCAUCAUCAAUCGGUACAUUUUCGAGUUUUAUUGUUUAUACCAUAAUUUCAUUUAUUUGUAUUUUCGUACCUAAGUCUCAUUUAUUUGCAUCUUCGUUCGACAAUCUAAAUCUCAUCAUAUAUAUUAAAUCAUACAUACCACUAUAGUAAGGGUGACAGUUUAAUACGAUUUGUCAAUAUGACAUUUUUUGCAGGUUUGGAUUGAGACUAUAAAUAGGUUUUCGUCAAAUUCGUAUCGACUUGUAUAGUUUGUUUAAUAAAUUAAUAAUUUUUGGCUCAAUUUGCAUAACACGACUUUAACCCAAAUUGACUCAUCUAAUAAUCUUACUAUUAAUUUAAUUAUAUAUCAUAUUUAACUCCUUUUAAAUUUGUUUUUAAAUAAAUAGGUCAAUAUAAUCAUAAACAUGUUAAUUAAGGCAUUAAUCAUAUUUGGAUUACAUGAGUUGAUCAUGUCAAUAUACAAAACCUAACUCAUGAGCUACACAAUGCGUCUCCUAUUUAAUAAUUAGAUUAUAUAUGAGUUUAUGCUUUUUACACAAUUAUUAUUCGUAUUGGAUUUAGAUUGAAAUAUGUAAUAGAAUACAAUAUAAUACCUAAGCUUUGAGGCUACUUAAAUAUCAUCCACCAACAUGAAAUAUCACCCCUACACUACUCUUAUCUCACCACAUAUCGUAAGACCGAUACUCCUUGUUUCGUAAAUACCAUUACAAUCGCAUAGAAUUUUCUUAAUUAAAAUCUUAAAUAUGUUUUAUAGUUGUUUUCAAAAGUAAUUUUGUAUUUUCAAAGAUUAAAAAACAAAAAAAUAUAUAUGUUUGGGAAUUAAAAAAUAAAAAACAUUAUUCUUAAAAACAUAAAAAUAUAUUAUAAUUAUCUUUUAAUUAUUUUCACUUAUUUUCUAUACACUAAUUUAAAAAAUAAUUACAUAAAUAUUAAAAACAAAAAGAAAACACCACUACAAAUAAAAAUUAUUUUUAAAAACAUAUUUUUAAUUUCUCAAAAAUACUUUUAUUCUAUAAAAACAUAAAAUAAAAAAAAGCAGUUUUCGAAAACAGUUUAGACUUAAAAGAGAGAAGAAAUAUCAUUCACGCAUCUCUUGGUUAUGGUUUAAUGACCAAAAAUUAUAUAUUCCUUCUAGUAAAUUUUCCUAUUCUUUAUUUCAGCCAAAUCAAAAGCUCCCCAAAAAGAUUGUUAAGACUAACCCAGCAGCAUUCCAAUUUUAUAGCAUCACCAUCACCUGACUACCCUGAAAAAUAAAAUCCACAACCAUACAAACAAGUUGAAGGGAGAAUUAGCAGUUGCAUUACCAAAUUUCACUUGAGAAAAAAAAAUAGGAUAACAUCAUAAUGGCCUACAACACAUCAUUCAAAGGGAAUGAAGCACAAUCAUAAGGAGGUUCACAUAGGCAUCUCGUCUACCAGAAGAAACAUUGUUAAAAAGGUAUUUCCUGGUUCUGAGCCGAUAACCAAGAAUAAUAUAAGGGCAGUGUAUAUUUGUAAAGGAAAAAAAAUUAUAUAUCACCUCCUAGUAAAUAAUAACCAGACAGGUAUCAAAACACAUCAGCUUGAAACAAUAACCCCUUGCCUUGAUCACUUGUGUUUGCCACUUUCCUUGCUUUCAUCAUAAUCCUCUGGGAGAUCACAUGUCCACUAGAUGCAUCAUUUACCAGUCGUGUAGUGAUAUAGAUGAUCAAUGUAAGCAAAGAUAGACUAGUACAAUGGUAUAAUGCUGACACAGCCUCUGCUAUCUGGUUCAACCAGACAAUCCAGCCUUGCUCUUCAGAUGCUCCUUAAAGUCCAUAAUGUCACCCUCCCAGCGGGUCACCUUCUGAUUCUCACACACCCAUAUCUCCUGAGCCACCUGGUUUAUGAGCCUGAAAUCAUGACUAACAAGAACCAGACCACCAUCCCACUCAUUCAAUGCUUCAGCUAGUGAGUCAAUUGUCUCAAUAUCCAAAUGAUUAGUUGGUUCGUCCAGCAGCAACAUGUGAGGUUGCCUAUAAGCUAACCAUGCAAAAAUCACCCGGCUCCUUUGACCAUCUGACAGAUUCUUCAUUGGCAUCACCUGCGCCUUACCUGUCAGCCCAAACUUCCCGAUUGCUGCCCUCAUCUUCUCUUCUUCAUUUCCUGGGUAUUCUCUCAUCAUGUACAGGAGAGCAGACAUCUCCAAGUCAAGUUUCUCAGUCAGGUGCUGAUGGAACUGAGCAAUUCUCAAGUGGUUGUGCCGCCGGACCAUGCCAUCAAUAGGAAACAGAUCCCCAGUCAUGAGCUUCAGCAAAGUACUCUUCCCAGCCCCAUUGGGUCCCACCAGAGCAAUCCUUGAGUCCAGGUCUACCCCAAAGUCAAUGUUCUUGUAAAUGAGAUUAUCAGGAGUAUAGCCAAAUGUGACUUCUACAAACUGCAGUACUGGCGGGGGAAGCUUUCCCACAUCAGUGAAGCGAAAGACAAGAAUCUUGUCUCUAACCACUUUUUCUGUAAGGCCUCCACGUUCCAUUUUGGCCAGAGUUUUUUCCUUGCUCUGAGCCUGGCGAGCUAGUUUCGCAGACCCAUGCCCAAAUCGGGCAAUAUACUCCUUCAUUGAAGCAAUCUGGUCCUGCUCCCACUUGUACUGUUUCAUCUGGUUCUCUUCCAGUUCAGCACGGGUUUGAACAUAUUGGUCAUAAUUACCAGUGUAAAGCUUCAGUUUCCUGUUUUGCAUGUGGAUGAUAUUUGUGCAGACACCAUUCAGAAAGUCCUGGGAGUGUGAAACCACAACUAAGAUGCGAUCAAAGUUCUUCAAUGUCUCCUCCAACCAGACACAAGCUUCUAAAUCUGAUACCAGAAAAUUCAGAGUUCAUCAUUGUUAGCAUUUCCCAAUCAUGGAAAAUUUGCUUAACAUCAUAAAUAGAACAGAUGAAAAAUUUUAGAAAGAAAAAAAUCAGACAAUUGCAGAUCAGCUGUCAGUCUCCAACCUGAAAAUAUGAACCAGAGCAAAUUAAGCAUAAUAAAGAACAAGUUAUCAUGAGAACAAGAUCAUCCCCUCCUUUCCAUGUAUGAGGGAUAAACUUCCAAUUAAGCAAAAUAAAGAACAAGUUACCAUAGGAACGAAAUCAUCCCCUCCUUUCUGUGUAUGAGGAAUGAACUUCCAUGGAUCAUGAAAACAGAAUUACUGGUCGAGUGUGCAAAAUCUCUCCUCGAAAGAAUUGGAACAUAAAAUUUAUCUGACAAAGGCUAUGCACUGUUGAGAACACCACCAUUCUAUUAGAAAUUUAGAAAUAGGAACCUAUUCCCUACUCUUCACAUCAUCUUCCAACCAGUGAUGCCGGUCCAUCACCCCACAAAAGACUCUCCUAGGAUGGGGACCCAAACCUCAGGGUGCUAACCAUGCCUGCCAUAACCAGCACCAAGUACUCCAGAGCAUCCAAACAGUGACAUGAAUCAAACCCAGGACUGUGUUGCUAACACACAUCCUAGCAUUUGCCCAAGACCGUGUCUCUAACUGGGCACCCUGACGGGCAAAGUCAAUGAAUAUACUAUCAACACCAUAAUUGAAAAGCUAAACCAUAUACACCCAUUUUGCCUAAACAAACUCAGACAUGUUUCCUCAAGAUGAAUAGUUGCAUUCCUUGAAAAGUGAACCCAACUUGCAGUUAUUUUUAAGAGCUAACAUGAUAGCUGAUGCAGGACUGUUCUACCACUGUUUAGAGUAAUGUAUGAACUAGAGCAGCCCCUGGUCAAACCUUAACCAGGAUUUUUGGUUAACAGGAGAAGAAAGAAAGGAAAAACUGAACAUUCAAUUAAGGAUUUUUGGUUAACAGGAGAUGAAAGAAAGGAAAAAUUAAACAUCCAACAACCACUAUUGAUACCCAUGCACCACUACACCAUCCAAAAAUGUAUAAAACCAAAAAAUAUCAACAUACCAAAACAAGAAUAAAAGUACUAAAAUCUUAAAAUCCAUGAGGAAGUUGGAUGCUAGGAAAACUUACCAAGAUGAUUAGUGGGUUCAUCGAGUAACAGAAUGGUUGGAUUCAUAAACAAAGCCCGAGCUAAUGCUAUCCUCAUUCUCCAACCACCAGAGAAAUCUUGUGUUUUCUUUGCUUGCAUCGUCUUAUUAAAACCAAGACCAAACAAGAUUUCAGCAGCGCGCUUUUCUGCAGUUGAUGCAUCCAUGGCUUCCAAACGCUCAUAUACACGAUCAAGGGCCUCUCCGCCACCAUCAUCCUAAGCCAAUAGAAAAUAUGGAAGUCAGGCAGAAUGCCCAAGAAAGACCAAGCUCAGAGUUGCUAACCUUAUUUACUUAGACAUACCUGUGCAGCCAACACUUCAGCUUCUUUCUCCAAUUUCAACCUCUCCUCAUCACAGCUUAUGACAGCCUCAAGGGCAGACAUGUCAGAAGCUUCAAUCUCUCUGGUUAGAUGAUGGAUGUCCAUGUGUUCUGGAAUGGGAAGUUCUCGGCACCCAAUUGCAGUGAGGAGGGUAGAUUUUCCACACCCAUUCAGUCCAAGUAAACCAUAUCGUCUGGGAUGAUAGAAGACAAUGAAUGAGACUCAGAUAAACUAUUAAUCAAUUCCACAACACAAGAAGAAUGUACUCAGUCAAGACAUGAGAUUAACAAACCUGCCAUAGUUAAGCUCUAGCUCAGUAUCCACUAUAAGAUCAUGACCAUGGAAAGUAACCGAUAAAGACUCUAUCUGCAACAAGCAUAAAAAACCAGUUUAUACACAGUAUGAAACAGCUUCAGAGAUGAGAUGUAAACAUAAUAUGUACCAAAAGGAUUCUUAGCGCACAAUAUUACCUCCUCCACGGGAGUACCCACAAGGAUGAAGGUAUUGGAUAUAUUCAGAAAAGAGAAUGUUCAAGUAAUAAACCCUGGUAACAUAGCUGGCAGAAUGCCCCUGGUGACAGAACCAGCUGCUCGCCUAGGCGCUCGUCUAGGUGCACCAAGCUAGCAACAAUAAGCUAAAAGUGAGACUCACUAUGAUGAGAGCGUUCAUACCAUUUUAAGAACCUUUAUAUGUUGUGCACAUGUCCAUUAAAAAUAGACAAUUACAGACCUCGGGACUCAACAACUAAAUGAUCCACCUAAAGAUCCAAGAGGGAUCAUACUGGAAUGAAUUAGAUAUUCCAGACCAUCUAAUUUAAUAUUCUUAAUAUUAAAUUUUUUAUAACUUAGGUACAUCUCAUCUUUUGCGGGCAUGGAUAGUGCCCUUUGUACAGAUCGAAUGCAAACAAAAUUCCAAAUCAUUUUGGCAUCAAUCACAAAACAGUUCAAAUCUGAACUCAUUAACCCAGAAUCGUUCCUCCCCAACAAACCCAAACACCCCACCUAAACCAACCCCACAAAAAAAUUUAAAUAAAUAAAUAAAAUGUAAAAGGACACCGGAGGAUAGGAGGGUUAAAUUGAGGAGAAGAAAUAAAAAUGAUAAAUUUGUUGAUAUCUCAAACUCAAACAAAACAAUGCAAGUGCCCCAAUAAUUUGGGAAGCCAAACAAAUUGUGGGGAAAAGAUUAUAUAUUAGUUACAAAUGGUCUUCGCUUUUGAGUUCGUUCUUUUUUUAAGGUAAGUUUUCGCUUUCGAGUUAAUGUGCCUUGUUAAACGAUAUCUAGGCUGCUGAGAUCAUCUGAUACUCUGAAUUCACUGUCUUCAAACACAAAAGAUCAGUACUACAGAAGUAACCGUAUACAACUAAAAACCCAUAGUUCUGGUUCCGCUAUUCAUUAAAAACUUUUACUUCCUUGGUUUCCCUUUAUCACGUCUUCAGCAUGCUAAAAUUUGGUGUACAAAAAAAAAUAAAAAAAUAAGAAAAUUACAGUGCAACAGUGAUCCACUUGAAAGGCACAUACAUGUGAGAUCUGGUUUUUAAAUGCCCAUCUACUAAGCUUGUAGGAUUUUUCCUCCACAUUUUUUAUUGGGUUUGAUGGUCUAGUGGCAGAGAUGAGUUUGUUCUUUUUUUAGGUAAGUUUUCACUUUUGAGUUAAUGUGCCUUGUCAAAUGAUAUCUAGGCUUCUGAGCUUAUCUGAUACUCUGAAUUCACUGUCUUCAAACACAAAAGAUCAGUACUACAGAAGUAACCGUAUACAACUAAAAACCCAUAGUUCCAGUUCUGCUAUUCAUUUAAAAACUUUUACUUCCUUGGUUUCCCUUUAUCUCGUCUUCAGUAUGCUAAAAUUUGGUGUGCAAAAAAACAAAAAAUAAAAAUAAAAAAAUUACAGUGCAACAGUGAUCCACUUGAAAGGCACAUACAUAUGAGAUCUGGUUUUUAAAUGCCCAUCUACUAAGCUUGUAGGAUUUUUCCACCACAUUUUUUAUUGGGUUUGAUGGUCUAGUGGCAGAGACUUAUUCAUUUCUCUCCUCAAAUUAUUCCCUUCAGUUGCCUCAAUUCACAUUUCAGCAUGGAAAUAUAAAAUAAUCACAUCAAAUAAUACAAUCAAGAGUUGUUGUGGUAAGCAAGCUCAAAAACAAGAUGUCUUGACUGGUUGCUUCACUAGCCAUCUAAAUAGUCAGCAAACACCUACCUAAAAAAACAGAGCUUUACAGGUCCAGAGAGCUCAAAAGGCCAAUCCUUUCCCAGUGCAGCUCAAUUCCUUCAGCUUAUUACUAACAUUCAUAUAGAUCAAUUACUUCAACAAGGGUAGCAAGUUCACUAGAAUACCUACAACACAACAUGCUCCAGAGAACAGGGCUCAUAACCUGGUAUAUCAUUGACAAGAAAGGCUGCCAUUUGGCUGCAUUUCGCAUAAGGGUUAGGUGCAGGUAAGAACAGAUUGUACAGUUAAUAUGUGACCUUAAAUGAAUUUCAUGAAUAUUCUUUAAGUACACUCUCUGCUAGAAUCUGAAGUGUCUCUACACUGUGAUACACAGUGGCUUCAUCAUUGAUUUGUUCAAUGGACUUGAAAAAAAGGGUAAUCCCAAGUUAGAUAUGAUGGAGUUAAGACUGGUUUCAAUUCACAAUAACCAUGCUUAACCUAUUUACAAAUUGUAUUUUGGUUUUUGUGAUUCAUGAUAAUUAGCUGAACUAGAUCUAAGGCUAGAUCUCUGACUACAACCAACGCUUGUCUUCAAUCUCAGGUGAGUCCGACUAUAAAGCAAACAAAACAUGGACUUUAUAAAAAUAAGUGCCCAAGUACAGAACAUGCUUAGCUGAACUAGCUUCCAACUCAAGCUAUUGAGCACAGCCUAUGUUAGUAAAUUUAGGAUUGCAUAAACCAAUACCAGCUUGUUUAAAUCCCCUAUAUUUGGUUGAAGGUGUGAGGAAGACAAAUCCAAUAGAGAAGAGAACAAGAAACCUAUAUUUGGGUGAGAAAUGAGGACCAAAUCAGAUGUAGAAGAAACUGAACGUCUACCAAAGAAAACCAUGGUAAGAAAUCUAAUUCUUUGGGGAGAAAACUACAUUUCUUAAAUAAAAAUAAAAAAAUGAAAAUGAAAAUGAAAAUAAAAAUAG